CAAUAGCGUAUAUUAAAGUUGUUGCAGUUAAAAAGCUCGUCGUUGGAUUUCUGGUGGGAGCGAUCGGUCUGGCGCUUAGCGCGAGUACUUGCAUCGUCUCCGGCCAUCCUUGGGGAGAGUCUGUCUGGCAUUAGGUUGUCGGGCAGAGGAUCCUCAUCGUUUACUGUGAAAAAAUUAGAGUGUUCAAAGCAGGCUUAUGCCGUUGAAUAUAUUAGCAUGGAAUAAUAAGAUAGGACUUUGGUACUAUUUUGUUGGUUUGCGCACCAAAGUAAUGAUUAAUAGGGACAGUUGGGGGUAUUCGUAUUCCGUUGUCAGAGGUGAAAUUCUUGGAUUUACGGAAGACGAACUACUGCGAAAGCAUUUACCAAGGAUGUUUUCAUUAA
rnacentral:rRNA from 1 species